AGCGACUUCACAUUCUUAGAGGAGGACAAACGUGGGUCUCGGAUUUCUGCCUGAAAACCUGGAGGGACAAGCGGGAACUCUACCAGACUGCCAGCUGGAGUUUUCUGGAGCAGUCUGGAUCAACUGGGCGUGUCUCCACAGCCAUGGAGGCUUCAGGAAUGGGAGAAAGGAGAAAGACCCGGUUCUGGUUGAUGCUGCGUCUCCUGUCUGAUCGAGGAUACGGCUCUGGUUUUCUGGAUCCUGUCCAGAAACCUCCGGCUAGACGGUUGUCAUGGCAACAUCCAUACAUUCUGAUGGUGGAGUCUGAGAAAGCAUUACCGGACGCUCACGUUCUGUUUUCACAAACUGCAAAAGCUUUCAGUAAACAACCAAGAUGGCGGCGCGGUCA